rnacentral:rRNA from 1 species
UUGGAGGGCAAGUCUGGUGCCAGCAGCCGCGGUAAUUCCAGCUCCAAUAGCGUAUAUUAAAGUUGUUGCAGUUAAAAAGCUCGUAGUUGAAUUUCGGGAUCAAUGUUUCGGUCAUGCCGUUGGUAUGUACUGAUAUUAUUGAUUUCUCACCUUCUAAGGAACCGUAAUGCCAUUAAUUUGGUGUCACGGGGAAUUAGGACUGUUACCUUGAAAAAAUUAGAGUGUUUAAAGCAGGCUCACGCUUGAAUACAUUAGCAUGGAAUAAUGAAAUAGGACAUCCGAUUCUAUUUUGUUGGUUUCUAGGAUCGAUGUAAUGAUUAAUAGGGAUAGUUGGGGGCAUUAGUAUUCAAUUGUCAGAGGUGAAAUUCUUGGAUUUAUUGAAGACUAACUACUGCGAAAGCAUUUGCCAAGGAUGUUUUCAUUAAUCAAGAACGAAAGUUAGGGGAUCGAAGACGAUCAGAUACCGUCGUAGUCUUAACCAUAAACUAUGCCGACUAGGGAUCGGAUGAUGUUAAUUUUUUAAUGACUCAUUCGGCACCUUACGGGAAACCAAAG